rnacentral:tRNA from 1 species
AUUUAUAUAGUAUAAAAAUUAUUUUUAACUUCCAAUUAAAAGAUUUACUAAAUUAAUAUAAAUA